ACUCAAAGGAAUAGACGGGGGCCCGCACAAGCGGUGGAGCAUGUGGUUUAAUUCGAGGCAACGCGAAGAACCUUACCAAGGCUUGACAUGGGGAUGCCCGGUAUAGAGAUAUACCAUUUCUUCGGAACAUCCCACACAGGUGGUGCAUGGUUGUCGUCAGCUCGUGUCGUGAGAUGUUGGGUUAAGUCCCGCAACGAGCGCAACCCUUAUGUUCAGUUGCCAUCGAGUAAUGUCGGGCUACACUGGAGAGACUGCCGUGGACAACACGGAGGAAGGUGGGGAUGACGUCAAAUCAUCAUGCCCCUUAUGUCUUGGGCUACACACGUGCUACAAUGGCGCCUACAGCGUGACGCAAGAUAGUGAUAUGGAGCGAACCACGAAAAGGCGUCCCAGUUCGGAUUGUAGGCUGCAACCCGCCUGCAUGAAGUUGGAAUCGCUAGUAAUCGCGAAUCAGCAUGUCGCGGUGAAUACGUUCCCGGGCCUUGUACACACCGCCCGU
rnacentral:rRNA from 1 species